UCACAAGGCAAGCACAAUGAAAUUACAUCCAUAUGGAACUUGAUUAGGCUUAUUCAAGACGCAACCGGGCAUAGUGCUUUCUGUUCAUUAUUCUUGCUGCCAGCUAGAGCAAAUGGAUAGGGAGUUCCAGAUCCUACAAUUUUAGCUAUGCAAUCAUCAUCAAUAUUAUGUGAGCCUAGCCUAGCCUAACCUAGCUUGAGCUUCU
rnacentral:lncRNA from 1 species